UUUCCGUAGGUGAACCUGCGGAAGGAUCAUUAAAAAAUUGGACUCCAUUGGUGAGUUCAUUAAUAAUCCCUACCCUUUGUGAAUUUGUUUGUUUGAAUAAUUUUUUUCCAAAAAAAAUUAUUGAAUGUCUUUCCUUGUUUUGGUGGAGCUUGUAAAGUGAAACCAGGCAGGGGAAUGGCAAACAAUAAUUAUUUUUGAAAAAGACCUUUUUUUAAAAUUAAACUUUUUGUAUUCAUUUGUCUAAAAUUAAUUUUUAUAAUAUAAAGACAACUUUUGACAAUGGAUCUCUUGGUUCUCGCAACGAUGAAGAACGCAGCAAAAUGCGAUAAGUAGUGUGAAUUGCAGAAUACGUGAAUCAUCGAAUCUUCGAACGCAUAUUGCACUUCUUAGUUUACUAAAAAAGUAUGUCUGUUUGAGUAUCAGUAAAUAUUCUCAUAAAAAACAUUGUUUUUUUUAUGGUUAUGAGUGUUUUACAACGAUAACAAGUUGUUUCACUUUAAAUUCUUUGUUAUCAAAAAAAUCAUUAAAAGCUAAUUUUAAAGAUUUUUUAAAAUUGGAUAAAAUUUUCCCGUAAAAAGGAAUAACCUAAACAAUUUUAAAAAAUUAAAAUUGGUUUGAUUUUUUUGAAACCCAGAGGAAAAAAAAACGAAAUUAACUUGAUCUCAAAUCAGAUAAGAGUACCCGCUGAACUUAAGCAUAUCAAUAAGCGGAGGAAAAGAAACUAACUAGGAUUCCCUCAGUAACGGCGAGUGAAGCGGGAAGAGCUCAAAUUUGAAAUCUCAAGGUUUUACCUUGACGAAUUGUAGUUUAAAGAAGUGUUUUCUGUUGGAGUUUUGGUAAAAGUUCUUUGGAAAAGGACAUCAUAGAGGGUGAGAAUCCCGUAUUUGACCAUUAUCUCCAGCUUUGUGAUACACUUUCAAAGAGUCGGAUUGUUUGGGAAUGCAGUCCAAAAUGGGUGGUAAAUUUCAUCUAAAGCUAAAUACUGGCGAGAGACCGAUAGCGAACAAAUACCGUGAGGGAAAGAUGAAAAGAACUUUGAAAAGAGAGUUAAACAGUACGCGAAAUUGUCAAAAGGGAAGCGUUUGACACCAGUGUUGUUUUCUCGAAAAUCAAUUAAAAAAGGCCGGAUUUUGUGUUGUAUUGACUUUAUCAGCUUUCUGCACUCUUUUCUUGUCUUUUUUAAUGCACUUUUCGUUUAACAAGUCAACAUCAAUUUCUUUUGUUGUAAAAGGGUCAUUGGAAGGUGGCUUUCUUUUCGGAGAAAGUGUUUAUAGCCUUUGGCCUCUGCAAUCGGAGAGAUUGAGGUCUGCAGCGUAGAUCCUUCGGGGUUAGAUACAUUUGUGCUAAGUUAUAGCCUUUCAUAGACAACUUGUUGACUAUGAUCAGUCAUGUAGCUUACUCGCUUAUGCUAUUU
rnacentral:misc_RNA from 1 species